GCACUGCACAUUUUCUUACAUGCAAAGAUCCUGACUACCAACAAAGCCUCUGGAAUACGCUUUCAUCUAUUAUGUCCGACAAAAAUAUGGAGGACAGUGAUAUUGAGCCAGCACCAAAGCUUAUUGAAGUGGUAUUCCACAAUUGCAAAGGUCAGGUGGAUAUGUGGGUGGAGCCCUAUCUCAGGAUUACAGUUGAUCGAUUGCGUCGGACUGAAAAGCCUCACUUGAAAUGUCUCCUGAUACAAGUGGUUGCUGAUGCUCUUUACUAUAAUGCUUCUUUGACACUUGGGAUUUUGCACAAGCUUGGUGUUGCAACAGAAGUUUUCAAUCUCUGGUUUAUUAUGUUACAACAAGUUAAAAAGAGUGGUGUUCGUGUAAACUUUAAAAGGGAACAUGAUAAGAAAGUUUGCUGCUUGGGCUUGACAUCACUUCUUGUUCUCCCUGAAGAUCAGCUGCCAGGGGAAGCUUUAGGGCGUGUUUUUGCCGCAACACUUGAGCUGCUUGUCUCAUACAAG
rnacentral:misc_RNA from 1 species